rnacentral:lncRNA from 10 species
GAUUGGGUCUUUUCCAAGUGCACCUUCCUUUCUUUCCUGUUCCAAGGUCUUUUAAAAUAAACUUCCACUCCUGCUCUGAAAUUUGUAUGCAACCUAUGGGUCGCUUUUUCUCCCUUAGGACCCUCAGUCAAAUUCUUUCUUCUGAGGAGGCAUGGACAGAAGUUGCUACGAACCCGUAAGGAUAGGCCACCAGUAACACAGAAUAACUCUGAUCUCCUCCACCGUUAACCUAUUCAUCCCAGUUUCUCAUCUUGCUCUCAAGAUACUUCUCUCUGAUGCCUCUAGUUUGUAGCAACUCAGCAUUCUGCAAAGACUCUGCUCCAGCUGGGCAAGUAACCUUGUUAUUGCAUACACAGGUAUGCUCAGAGGACAGAAGGCUGGAAGGAAGGGAAGAAGGUAGAAAAACAAGAGUGAAAAAGAGGGUUUCCGAUUUAUGGAUGUAUAUUAAAGCAUAUUGAAGAUAUCAGGUGAUUUCAUCCCUUUAUACACUUCAGCAUAUAUCUCCAAAUGGUGAGAGAGACAGACACUGGGAGUGCUCAUGCGCAGAGGAAAGGCCGUAGGAGGAUGCUAUAAAAAGGCUGUUGUCUGCAAGCCAAGGGGUGAGGCCUCGGGAGAAACCAAGCCUGUUGACACCACGAUCUUGGACUUCCACCCCUUCAGAACCGUGAGAAAAUAAGUUUCUGUUGUUUAAGGCUCCUAGUCUGUGGUGUUUUGUUAUGGCAGUCCUAGAUGAGUAAUAUAGCCCAUAAUAUCAAGUUGUCCAUACCUGGUAAUGCUACAUUUGAUCAGUACUUUCAAGUAGAAACAGCCUGAGACUUCCAUUCCUGUGGCAGGUUGUUGGGGGAGAGAUCACUGAGUGGAGUGGUUCCCAAUUGUAAUCACCUGGGGACUCCUAACACAGCUGAUGCCCAGCUAGCACCCAGGAUAAUUUAAAUUAGAAACUUCAGGUUGGUAUCCAGGUGUUAAUAUUUUUCAUCAACUAAAUUGAUUGAUAAAUCACAAACCAAAGUAUUCGUGAAUUUAGACUAGUUUAAUGCGUGCAACUAGAAACGCAGUUAAAAUAUAGAGCAUUUUUAUCACGCUCGGGAGUUUUACCUGCUCUGUACAGGACUGAUCCUGGUGAUUUGGAUGUCUACUAGUAAUUUUGUAUCAAUAUAGCACCUUGAAGUUUAUAAGAGAGUUAUGAAGAGCCAAAGUGUUGUAAUAUAAAGCCAUAUGAAUACUACCACACUACCCUUAAGGACUGUGGACAGGUGUAGGAAGGAACUUUUAACUAGCAUAGCAGUUUGCAAUAUAUAUGUUUGUUAUUCUUGUUCUUUGUCUUCUUCUUCCCUUCUGUCUCUUUCCCUCCCUUUUGUUCUUCUCUGCCUCCCUUCCUCCUGUCUCCCUCUCUCUCACUUCCUCCUGAC